CCCCCUAGAUGAUCCCCCAAAAUACUUCACGUAUAUAAUGGAGUUAGAGUUGCUACAAGAUUAUUACAAACCGCAAUAAAUAAUAAGUACAAAGUAAAAAAAAAAAAACAGAAAUUGAGUAAUCUCGUAUCAUGGCGACUCUUCGAUUUGAACUUCAAGUUCGAAACCUGUUUAAUAGAAUAAAACUCAACACGAGAUCUUAGCAUGAUAAUAACUAUUAGAUAGACACAUAAAAUAAUUUACAGCAAACACACGCAAUUCACCAAGUCAUAUAAAACCACGCUUCGGAGUGAGGGAUAAGGAAACUAACCCGGAUGCUCCUUUUUAUUUAUUUCAACCAUGUAUAAUACGACCAAUGCAGAAAAUAAGAUUAACUAAUAAAAAGGAACUAACCAAUUACGCAGUAAAAGAAAUCAGCAAUGAAGAUCCACACUUAAUCCAAUAAUCGACCCAAACACAGCAAAAUAGCAAGUAUAGAGGAGCUUUUUGUUUACCGGAAAACUUAAUUCUAUUUUAAAGAAUAGAGAGAGCAAUAUGUAUUUUUAGUAUUCAAGUAUUGAGCAAAGUCAAGAUGUAAUCUAAGUAUGAGAGUAUUUAACCGUGAGUGACCCCCUAGAGGUAUCCGGAAGGGUCCUAUUUAUACUGGGUGAGAGGGCACUACCAUAAGGAAAGGAAAUAAACAAUGAGUCAAUUAUAAUAAAUUUUCCUUAUUUUAAAGGAGAGCCAAAAUUAGACUUAUUUUGAUUUAUUUUUUACCAUAUAUAAACAAGUAAGAAAUCUACCAAUUUUAAUUAAGGUAACAUGCUCAAUUUACAGACAGAUGAUAUGUGAAAUCAAGUAAGACAAGUGAUAAUUGAUUCAAAGGGAAUGCAUGAUUACAGCUCAAAAUACGUCAAUCGGGCAAGUAAAAAUAGAGUGGCAUACGGUAAGAAUUAAUUUCAAAUUGUCAAUUAGGUGACAAGUUAAACCAGCAAGCAUUAGUCCAAAUAUAAGACAAAGAAUCCAAUAAAGGUAUCAACUAAAAUCGGAAUUAUGGAGAAAUUCAAGCAAGGAGACCUAUAUGUAUAUAUUUUAUGUAGAAGGAAGGACAGUGAAGGCUUAUCGAUUUUGUUAUAUCAAGAAGGCGUAAAUAUAUUAAUCGUAUCCUAUAAACAGUUUACACCAACAGUCAUUGUCACAAGAGCAAUAUUGAUAAACAAAUAAAGGUAUAAUCACAAUGAUCAUGAAGCUAAUUAAAAUCUCUAUCCAAAUCUGCCAAAAUCAGAUUCAAGAUGGAGGAAAACAAGCAAGAGGAACAUUAUGCAAUUUCUUGCUAUACUAUUAUUAAUAGCAACUCCCAACUCAAUCACAUAUAGCUUGAACAUCAAAACCAUAUUAAACCGUGGCAAAAUUACACUUAAAUCAAGGCCGACUCAACAACAUUGGGGGGCCUAAAGCGAAAUUUAAGAGAGGGGCCCUAAAUUUUUUUUCAUCAUAUGUUCUUUUAUUUAAAAUAUAUUUUUCUAGCUAUUUCAGAUGCAAAGUCAUUAAGUAUUGUUUAUAAUCAAUUUAUUUUAAUAAUUCCUUUUCAAUUGAUAAUAUAGCUAAUUCAUUCAAUCUAUCUUGAGACAUUGUUGAUCUUAAAGAAGAUUUAAUCAAUUUUAAUUUCGAACGAAGAAAAAUUUGGUUGAGGCAAUGGUUAUGAACUGUUAACACAAUAUGUGUAUUUGGAAAAGAAUCAAAUCUUUUAUUUGAUUGAGUAUUUUCAUUACAUCAUUAUCUUCUACUUGUAUUGUUUAUCUUUAACACUUUUACUUCAAAAAAUAAAUCUAAACCAUCAAUUCAGAAUAACUAGUAUGUGUUAAAGAAAGUUCAAGGUUAAGACAAUAUUUUAAAAAAAAAGGUUAAGACAAUAUUUUUAAAAAAAUUUCAUCAUCUAGUAAUCUCAAUAUUUUACCACUAAAUAAGAAAUCAAAAAUAUUUUUAUAUGCUUCAAUUGGUUCAAAUCUAUUUUAAAGUGAAAAAAUAGUUUGAUCUACUCUACAUAUAUAACGUAAUCAACUCUAAAGAUUCUUCGAGGGACUUAGUGAUUUCGUUAUCCAUAUUUUCAUCAAAUUGUUUCUUACGAAAAUUAUAUUUGUAUUCAUGUCAUAUGCAAUUUCUUUAGUAGAAAUCAUAGCACUUAUAGUACAUAUAAUUUAUUUAUUUUUAAAAAUAAUAUAUAUAAGUAAUUGUUUUUUAAAAAUGGGGGCCCCAAAAAAUAUGGGGCCCCAAGCGAUGGCUUUAGUGGCCUAGGGGUUAAGACGGCCCUGACUUAAAUACACACACAAGAUGGAGUUCUAACAUAAUAUACUAACGAAAAUAUUGAUAUUAACAUAGAACAGCAGCCCACAUUAUCAAUAUUUAAGUCUUAAAGGAAAGAGUUUAUACCUGGGACAGAUCUGUAAAGAUCUGUCCUUAUCGAAAUACUUUGUGGAUUCGCCGGAGGUCACCUGCCGGAGCUGCUGUUCGCUGGCCAGAGAAGUAUCUGCCAGAGUCGGAGUUUGCUGUUGCUGGUGGCUUCUGCGGCUGCUGGUUGCUCGGAGCCCUCGCCGGUCGGAGGUGCUGCUGGUUGCUGUUUUCUUGCCGGUGGAGCCUGCUGCUGUUGCUGGUCCUGCUCGCCGGUGGCUGCUGACGGGAGAGAGGAGAAAAAAGGCGGAGAGGAGAGGAGGCGGAUGGCGAAACGAUGGAGGCCAGCAGCUGCCGGCUUCGUUGGUGGUUGUCUCGCCGGAAAAAAUGGAGAGAACGAAGGUGAAGGAUAAGAGGGAGAGGCGGCUGAUCUUAGAGAGGAAGAAGAGGAUGAAAAA
rnacentral:lncRNA from 1 species